ACAACCCGCCGAAAGGCGGGCUAAACCCGCGUACAUGCCACCGGGGCAUCCCGGAGGCAGGAAAGGCUUCGGCCGGACAAGGAUGGGCAUGCGGCGCAUUAGGCAGUAGGCGGGGUAACGGCCCACCUAACCGACGAUGCGUAGGGGUUCUGAGAGGAAGGUCCCCCACACUGGUACUGAGACACGGACCAGACUCCUACGGGAGGCAGCAGUGAGGAAUAUUGGUCAAUGGUCGGGAGACUGAACCAGCCAAGCCGCGUGAGGGAUGAAGGUACAGAGUAUCGUAAACCUCUUUUGUCAGGGAACAAAGGCGGGGACGUGUCCCCGGAUGAGUGUACCUGAAGAAAAAGCAUCGGCUAACUCCGUGCCAGCAGCCGCGGUAAUACGGAGGAUGCGAGCGUUAUCCGGAUUUAUUGGGUUUAAAGGGUGCGCAGGCGGUCUGUUAAGUCAGCGGUCAAAGCCCGGGGCUCAACCCCGGCCCGCCGUUGAAACUGGCAGUCUCGAGUUGGAGAGAAGUAUGCGGAAUGCGCGGUGUAGCGGUGAAAUGCAUAGAUAUCGCGCAGAACUCCGAUUGCGAAGGCAGCAUGCCGGCUCCACACUGACGCUGAGGCACGAAAGCGUGGGUAUCGAACAGGAUUAGAUACCCUGGUAGUCCACGCAGUAAACGAUGAAUGCUGGCUGUCCGGGGGGACUGACCCCUGGGUG
rnacentral:rRNA from 1 species